rnacentral:rRNA from 1 species
AAAUUGAAGAGUUUGAUCAUGGCUCAGAUUGAACGCUGGCGGCAGGCCUAACACAUGCAAGUCGAACGGUAGCACAGAGAGCUUGCUCUCGGGUGACGAGUGGCGGACGGGUGAGUAAUGUCUGGGAAACUGCCUGAUGGAGGGGGAUAACUACUGGAAACGGUGGCUAAUACCGCAUAACGUCGAAAGACCAAAGAGGGGGACCUUUGGGCCUCUUGCCAUCAGAUGUGCCCAGAUGGGAUUAGCU